UGGGGAAUUUUCCGCAAUGGGCGAAAAGCCUGACGGAGCAAUGCCGCGUGGAGGUGGAAGGCCUACGGGUCGUCAACUUCUUUUCUCGGAGAAGAAACAAUGACGGUAUCUGAGGAAUAAGCAUCGGCUAACUCUGUGCCAG
rnacentral:rRNA from 1 species